CUUAAAGAGUUCUCAUCCGGGACCUUUCCAAUUUCUGAUUAGGUUUUAUUUUUUAAUUUCUCAAUGAUAUUGUCUUAAAAGUUGAACUGAAUGAUGUGCAAUUUCAGUUUUAAUAAUUCAUUGCUUUGAAGCAUUUCUGGACAUUUUUGUUAUGUGUAUGCAUGAUUUGCACACAAUCUUAUUUUCUUUCUUUCUUUCUUUCUUUCUUUCUUUCCUUUUUUUUUUAUAAAAAAUUUAUCUCCAAUGAAUGUUGAUGCGCACCUAGGAUCUCUUACAAGUAUGCCAUGUUGGCCCAUUGAUGCUGUGAAGGAAACACUGUUCGCAUGUAGUUUCUUGACAUUUCGUGUUAUACCGAUAAUGGUAGAGUACUGAGGGUUUCAACAACAAAUCUUGACUCUGAUUUUUCUAGACAUGUACUUGUGAGUUUGAUUUAUCUGGCAUUUAAAGUAGCUGCUGAUUAUUUUAAUAUCUAAAAUUCUGUUUGUCAAGAGCCACAACUGCAAUAUAGUUGUUUGUUUGUUUAUUUAUUAUUUUAAGAUGUUUAACUGGGAGGUCAUGAGAUUGAUUUCCCAUGUGGUGUGGGUGUGAGUGUGAGUUUGUGUUUAAAAAAAAAAAAAACAUUUUCAUCCUUCAUUCCAAUUGGAUUAUUUUGAAUACAUUUUGCUGGAGAUGGACAAAUAUCUUUCAUGUUAAAAUCAUCCUUACAAGUUGUUCGCUUCGACUCGGGUUCUCUUCUAGAAAGAUGAGUGCAAAAUAAAGUUCAUUGACUCCUUUGCCUAUGGACUUUUGGCAGUGGACACAAUUUCAUGCCCAUGUAUAAAUAUGUUGGAAUAUAUCUACAUGCUACAUGAAAGGAAGAACCUCUCUCUACAUAUAUCUAAUCUCUUCUAAAAUCUACCUCUCAUUUGUAGGGAUAUGAAGAUAUCAAGUGAAGAGGAAUGCCAGAGCUUGUGCUGAGGCUACAAUGCUAGAGCUGCAAACAUUUAUCCCAACGUCCAAUUAAGGUUUUCAGGUGAGAUGAAUGAGUUUCAAAACAAAACAGUCUGCAGUUUUGAGAAGCGAUUCCCAGGAUGUAUAUGUGUUUCAGGGGCCAUCUGCACCUUGGAAGCAUACAAUAGAAGGAUGAUGGAAUAUACGAAGCUGUUGCAGGAAGUGACUUUGUCAUUACUAGAGUUGCAUUUCGAGACAACUCUUCAAAGUACUACAUAAAUGACCGUGGAAGUAAUUUUACAGAGCUCACUAAGAAAUUGAAAGGAAAAUGAGUGGACUUGGACAACAAUCGGUUUUUUAUUCUUCAGGUGGGUGAUGGCUGAAAAAGGCCUAUUUACUUGUGAAAAAAAUAUCAUAUCAUCAAAAUAUAUCUUCUCUUUCAAUUAUUUAUCAUUGACAUUUCAAGGUGAAGUCAAGCAAAUUUCUCUAAUGAAGCCAAAGAUUCGUAUUUUCAGCAUUAUUGUAAUUGUAAUUGUAAUUGAUUGAAUGAAGGAUUGCAAUUGAUUGUAAUU